AUAAACGUUGGCGGCGUGCCUAAUACAUGCAAGUCGAACGAAGAGCUUAAGGUAGCAAUACUUUGAUAACUCUUAGUGGCGAACGGGUGAGUAACGCGUUGGUGACCUGCCCCAAAGAGAGGGAUAACAGCCCGAAAGGGCUGCUAAUACCUCAUGUGAUCAUUUGAUUUAGAACCUUAUGAUUAAAGGAGCUUGCUCCACUUUGGGAGGGGCCUGCGUCCCAUCAGCUAGUUGGUAGGGUAAUGGCCUACCAAGGCUAUGACGGGUAGGGGACCUGAGAGGGUGGCCCCCCACAAUGGAACUGAAACACGGUCCAUACACCUACGGGUGGCAGCAGUAGGGAAUAUUGGUAAUCUGCGAAAGCGGGAACCAGCAACGCCGCGUGCGCGAUGAAGGCCUUCGGGUUGUAAAGCGCUUUUCGAGAGGAAGAGGAAGGACUGUACUCUCGGAAUAAGUCUCGGCUAACUACGU
rnacentral:rRNA from 1 species